UCAGAGUUAAUUUCAUUCAUGUACUCUGUGCCUUCUGGAGAAAAUUUUGCACUGCCCCCCUGCAGUCCCAGGAGAUUCCCCAAAGGAGUAACUGUUUGUAUAAGUUACCACGUGAAAGUGAGAAAGGUGGCCUUGGAAGAUAGUUCUUGUCAUUUAAAGAGGAAGCUACACCCCUGGCUCAUUGUAAGCUUAUUGAUUAAGGAAACAGUCAGCUUUGGAAGGUCACUUAUGAUGUUUCCACACAGAAGGACCUUCACUGGGUCACACUCCAGCCUCUCUAGCCACCUUGUCACCCCUGAGCUCAAGGAGAAAGCCCUGGGUGUGAGCAGAGCCUCUUCUGCCUGCCCUUCAGCCUCCUCCUGCCUGCUAAGCAGAUGGACUCUGGCUACUUGGCUCUGUGAUGUGCAAAGUGUGCUCAGGUAGGCUGUGGUCUCAAGGCAUAACCAGGAGCAUAGCAGGUAAGUUUCAUUAGUGGGGGAGAUGUACAUUAUCAAGACCACCUGGACAUCCUCAAGGCACAUACGACAAGCAGCUUCCUUAGUGAUACAGAGAUAUGUAUUUUCACCUUCCUGUCACCUGCAUCUCUUUCAGUUGGUUCCAAACCUGUGGGGGACAAAGAAGAUGUUACAUAAUGAGCAUCCUUAAAUCAGCAUGGAGGGCUCAGACCACCUGGGCAAUGGCAGCUCACUGGGAAUCCCCAGGAAGAGAAGAGUGCUGUGGACUGUGCCCCCCACCCACCAAAUUCAUAUGUUGAAACCUCAAUCUCCAAUGCAAUGGUAUUUGGAGAUGGGGUCUUUGGGAGGUAAUUAGGUCAUAAGGGUGGAGCUCCCAUGAUGGGAUUAGCGCCCUUGUAAGAAGAGCCAGGAGGGGUCUCACUCUCCCUAUUUCUUCUCUCUCUCUCUCUCUCUCUCCCCUACCACCCUACCCACAUGAGGACACAGUAAGAAGGCAGUGUCUGCAAUCCAGGAAACAGACUAUAUUAGUCCGUUUUCACACUGCUGAUUAAGACAUACCCGAGACUGGGAAGGAAAAACAGGUUUAAUUGGACUUACAGUACCACAUGGCUGGGGAAGCCUCAGAAUCAUGGCAGGAGGUGAAAAGCACUUCUUACAUGACAUCGGCAAGAGAAAAUGAGGAAGAUACAAAAGUGAAAACCCCUGAUAAAGCCAUCAGAUCUAGUUCACUAUAAGAACAGUAUAGGGGAAACUGACCCCAUGAUUCAAAUUAUC
rnacentral:lncRNA from 10 species